rnacentral:rRNA from 1 species
AGUGAACGCUGGCGGUAGGCCUAACGCAUGCAAGUCGAACGGCAGCACAGUAAGAGCUUGCUCUUACGGGUGGCGAGUGGCGGACGGGUGAGGAAUACAUCGGAAUCUACUUUUUCGUGGGGGAUAACGUAGGGAAACUUACGCUAAUACCGCAUACGACCUACGGGUGAAAGCAGGGGAUCUUCGGACCUUGCGCGAUUGAAUGAGCCGAUGUCGGAUUAGCUAGUUGGCGGGGUAAAGGCCCACCAAGGCGACGAUCCGUAGCUGGUCUGAGAGGAUGAUCAGCCACACGAGAACUGAGACACGGUCCAGACUCCUACGGGAGGCAGCAGUGGGGAAUAUUGGACAAUGGGCGCAAGCCUGAUCCAGCCAUACCGCGUGGGUGAAGAAGGCCUUCGGGUUGUAAAGCCCUUUUGUUGGGAAAGAAAAGCAGCAGGUUAAUACCCCGCUGUUCUGACGGUACCCAAAGAAUAAGCACCGGCUAACUUCGUG